AAUUUUGGACAAUGGGGGCAACCCUGAUCCAGCCAUCCCGCGUGUGCGAUGAAGGCCUGCGGGUUGUAAAGCACUUUUGGCAGGGGAGAAAAGGCGCCGGAUAAUACCUAGCGCCGCCGACGUACCCUGCAGAAUCAGCAGCGGCCACCUACGUGCCAGCAGCCGCGGUAAUCCGUAGGGUGCAAGCGUUAAUCGGAAUUACUGGGCGUAAAGCGUGCGCAGGCGGUUCGGAAAGAAAGAUGUGAAAUCCCAGGGCUUAACCUUGGAACUGCAUUUUUAACUGCCGGGCUAGAGUAUGUCAGAGGGGGGUAGAAUUCCACGUGUAGCAGUGAAAUGCGUAGAGAUGUGGAGGAAUACCGAUGGCGAAGGCAGCCCCCUGGGAUAAUACUGACGCUCAUGCACGAAAGCGUGGGGAGCAAACAG
rnacentral:rRNA from 1 species